rnacentral:lncRNA from 1 species
CUCAGAAAACUCGAAUCCAAGAAUUUAAGAAAAAUUUCUCCACAGUCAGACCCAAUGCCGAAUGACAGGCCUUUCUUCUUCACACCAGAAAACCCCUUCUGCUCUUCAAGAGACCAUAAACCUAAUCAUAAAAGGACCUCCAAUCUCUACACUUCAAUGUUCGAUAUGCCUCAGUUCUUUUUCUAACUUAAUCCUAUACCAAACAUCUUUGUUUUCGUCGGUCAAAAAUCAAAAACCCACUUAGGGAUUUUGUAUCCUAAUUCCCAAAGAAAAAGGAGACCUUUUUCCAGCCAAAAAAUCUCUUCAACUCUCCAAGAAAUUGGAGAAAGGAAAAAACUUUCAGAAACCCCAUGCCCCAAAACCCAUAGCCCAGCCUCGAACAGCCGAUCUCCUUCCCCAAAAUCCACACAUCCCGAAACCCCUCCAAUGCCCAAAAGCCCGGCGACCCUCCUCAAAACCCCCCGCCCCGAUUCCUUCUACCUCUUUCCCCCAUCUCUUCGGGCUUCACG